CCUACGGGCGGCAGCAGUGAGGAAUAUUGGUCAAUGGGCGCGAGCCUGAACCAGCCAAGUAGCGUGAAGGAUGACUGCCCUACGGGUUGUAAACUUCUUUUAUAAAGGAAUAAAGUGAGGCACGUGUGCCUUUUUGUAUGUACUUUAUGAAUAAGGAUCGGCUAACUCCGUGCCAGCAGCCGCGGUAAUACGGAGGAUCCGAGCGUUAUCCGGAUUUAUUGGGUUUAAAGGGGGCGUAGAUGGGUUGUUAAGUCAGUGGUGAAAGUUUGGGGCUCAACCGUAAAAUUGCAAUUGAUACUGGCAGGCUUGAGUACAGGUGAGGUAGGCGGAAUUCGUGGUGUAGCGGUGAAAUGCUUAGAUAUCGCGAAGAACUCCGAUUGCGAAGGCAGCUUACUAAACUGCCACUGACAUUGAUGCACGAAAGUGUGGGUAUCAAACAGGAUUAGAUACCCUAGUAGUC
rnacentral:rRNA from 1 species